rnacentral:rRNA from 1 species
CUGCUGCCUUCCGUAGGUGUCUGGACCGUGUCUCAGUUCCAGUGUGGCCGGACAUCCUCUCAGACCGGCUACCCGUCAUCGCCUUGGUGAGCCGUUACCUCACCAACUAACUAAUAGGCCGCGAGCCCAUCCCCAAGCGCAUUGCUGCUUUAAAUCUUUCGAUACUAUGCGGUAUUAAUCCCAGUUUCCCAGGGCUAUCCCGCUCUCGGGGGCAGGUUACUCACGUGUUACUCACCCGGUGCGCCACUAGAGAAUUA